rnacentral:tRNA from 1 species
UAAAUUAUGAAGGACUGCCUUUUAAGCAGGGUGUCCGGAGUUCGAAUCUCCGGCGGGUCACCA